rnacentral:rRNA from 2 species
GGGAUAACUCCGGGAAACCGGGGCUAAUACCGGAUAACAUUUUGAACCGCAUGGUUCGAAAUUGAAAGGCGGCUUCGGCUGUCACUUAUGGAUGGACCCGCGUCGCAUUAGCUAGUUGGUGAGGUAACGGCUCACCAAGGCAACGAUGCGUAGCCGACCUGAGAGGGUGAUCGGCCACACUGGGACUGAGACACGGCCCAGACUCCUACGGGAGGCAGCAGUAGGGAAUCUUCCGCAAUGGACGAAAGUCUGACGGAGCAACGCCGCGUGAGUGAUGAAGGCUUUCGGGUCGUAAAACUCUGUUGUUAGGGAAGAACAAGUGCUAGUUGAAUAAGCUGGCACCUUGACGGUACCUAACCAGAAAGCCACGGCUAACUACGUGCCAGCAGCCGCGGUAAUACGUAGGUGGCAAGCGUUAUCCGGAAUUAUUGGGCGUAAAGCGCGCGCAGGUGGUUUCUUAAG